rnacentral:rRNA from 1 species
UACGGGGGGGGCAAGCGUUGUUCGGAAUUACUGGGCGUAAAGGGCUCGUAGGUGGCCAACUAAGUCAGACGUGAAAUCCCUCGGCUUAACCGGGGAACUGCGUCUGAUACUGGAUGGCUUGAGUUCGGGAGAGGGAUGCGGAAUUCCAGGUGUAGCGGUGAAAUGCGCAGAUAUCUGGAGGAACACCGGUGGCGAAGGCGGCAUCCUGGACCGACACUGACGCUGAGGAGCGAAAGCCAGGGGAGCAAACGGG